rnacentral:rRNA from 1 species
AGAGUUUGAUCCUGGCUCAGAGCGAACGCUGGCGGCAGGCCUAAAACAUGCAAGUCGAACGGAUCCUUCGGGAUUAGUGGCGGACGGGUGAGUAACACGUGGGAACGUGCCUUUUGGUUCGGAACAACUCAGGGAAACUUGAGCUAAUACCGAAUGUGCCCUUCGGGGGAAAGAUUUAUCGCCAUUAGAGCGGCCCGCGUCUGAUUAGCUAGUUGGUGAGGUAAAGGCUCACCAAGGCGACGAUCAGUAGCUGGUCUGAGAGGAUGAUCAGCCACACUGGGACUGAGACACGGCCCAGACUCCUACGGGAGGCAGCAGUUAGGAAUCUUGCGCAAUGGGCGAAAGCCUGACGCAGCCAUGCCGCGUGAAUGAUGAAGGUCUUAGGAUUGUAAA